AGUUGCUUAGUAUAGAUCAUUACUUCUGAUUUCGGCUCAGAAAACGAAAUAACAAUUCGGCAGCUA
rnacentral:tRNA from 1 species